CUCAGGACGAACGCUGGCGGUGUGCCUCAUACAUGCAAGUCGAACGAGAAACUGACUUCGGUCAGUGGAAAGUGGCGGACGGGUGAGUAAUAUGUAGGAAAUCUGCCCUAGAGAGGGGGACAACAGAGGGAAACUUCUGCUAAUACCCCAUAUGAGCUUGGUUGAAAUACCAAUCUUGAAAACUCCGGUGCUCUAGGAUGAGCCUGCAUCUGAUUAGCUAGUUGGUGGUGUAAUGGACCACAAAGGCGACGAUCAGUAGCUGGUUUGAGAGGAUGAUCAGCCACAAUGGGACUGAGACACGGCCCAUACUCCUACGGGAGGCAGCAGUAGGGAAUUUUGCGCAAUGGGGGAAACCCUGAACCGCAGCAACACCGCGUGAAUGUUAAGCCCUUCGGGGUAUAAAGUUCUGUCAAUGGGGAAGAAUAAAUGACUGUACCCAUAAAGGAAGCACCGGCUAACUCCGUGCCAGCCGCAGC
rnacentral:rRNA from 1 species